rnacentral:rRNA from 1 species
GACGUAGGAGGCGAGCGUUGUCCGGAUUCAUUGGGCGUAAAGGGCGCGUAGGCGGCCUGGUAAGUAGGGGGUGAAAUCCUGCGGCUUAACCGCAGGGCUGCCUUCUAAACUGUCAGGCUUGAGCACGGUAGAGGCAGAUGGAAUUCCCGGUGUAGCGGUGGAAUGCGUAGAGAUCGGGAAGAACAUCAGUGGCGAAGGCGGUCUGCUGGGCCGUUGCUGACGCUGAGGCGCGACAGCGUGGGGAGCAAACAGG